UCCAGGGUAGCCUAGUGGACAUGGCAUCUGCACGGUAAGCGGAAGAUUGUGGGUUCGAAUCCCGCCCCUGGAC